rnacentral:lncRNA from 1 species
AUUUUAAUUUUAAACUUAAUUAAACCAACUUAGUUUUGAUUCCUUCAUUCCGCUUACUUUACAUACCGAUACCUAAAUAAAUCAGCCAGACAUGCUAAACAGACUCAAAUAAAUAACAUGCAUAAACAGAUUCAUCACAGGCAAGCAGCAAAAAUAAAAAAUAAAAACAAGCAUAUAUAAAUUCAACAAAUAAAUAAAGAACCUGAAUAAUU